rnacentral:misc_RNA from 1 species
UAUAAGCUUGGUUUAAUGUAAUUGCUGAUUUUAGCGCAGAGAACGAAGAAUAUAUACAUUUUCAGAAGUCCACUACCCCAAUAUCAGCAAUUACAUUAAACCAAGCUUAUAGAAGAACUGCCCACAGGGACUUCUUAGAGGUCUAGUCACCGGUUUACAUAAUAUCUACAUAGCUACACUACCAAAAAGAAGAAAGAAAAGAAAACCUCUAUAGCUGGGACAGAGUAACUACUAUAGCCCACUACAUGAACGACAAUGAUAAACAAGCCAUGCAUAUGUUACAGAGUCUGUUAGCAUUGAGGUUGAGAGUAAAUCUCAGACGUCUCCACUUUCACUACUUGCAGACGGUCUUCAGUCUCUUUGCAGCCUGAACAAAUCCCACAAUGACCUGCAACUCAUCCAUUUGCUGGGACAUAAAAUGCCUCUGAACAACAUCUACUAGUUGCUCUUUAGAUGGGUUGGGGAUAGCAUCCACAAGAUUGAAGUGUCUCCAAUAUCUCCACAAGGCAGCCAUCUCCAAUUUGCUGAGGUCAACUUUCGUGGCCCCACGAGAUGUAGAAACAGAGCCCUUAGACUGCGAGUCGCAAGAGAGAGACCUGCUCAUAGUCUUGUGAGAUGACCCCGUUGAUUUAUGAGUCCUAUGCCUUGAUCUAUGGGACUUUUGGGUGUCAUCGGAUGCCAUAUCAGAUCCAUUCCACCGCACAUUAUCAAAUUCCAAGUCAUCAUCACCUUCAUUGCCAGUGGGAGCCUCAAUCACACUAAGGGCAUUCCUCUGUAGCUUUACUUCAAUGCCAUUUGUAAGAACCAGCCAAUGCCAACCGCCAAGCCCAACAGCCUUCUUGACCACCCCCUGAAGACCCACAAGCACCGACUUUGUCCUGUUAUUUCCAGUAACCACCACCUUAGUGUGACGAGGCAACACGGAGAGUUCUUCCUCGCUGCUGUCUCCACAGCUCUGCAAGUGCGAGAACCCUCCAUUGACCGAGCUCUCCAUAGCCUCAAGCAUUAUUUCUAUUCCAACUCAGUGAGUCAAGAAAAACUGAGUCAAAAUUAGAGUAUCAAAACUCGAAACUAGAAUUAAAAUGAAGAUCAUGCAUUGCUGAGCAAGUUUAUGGAAGUUUCGGGGACAAAAGGAAGAGAAAUUGAGGAGAAAUUUGGGAU